UGGCGGCCUUAGCGCGUUGGCCCCACCUGACCCCAUGCCGAACUCAGAAGUGAAACGCCGUAGCGCCGAUGGUAGUGUGGGGUCUCCCCAUGCGAGAGUAGGGAACUGCCAGGCA
rnacentral:rRNA from 1 species